AUACGUAGGUGGAAAGCGUUGUCCGGAUUUAUUGGGCGUAAAGCGAGUGCAGGCGGUCUUUUAAGUCUGAUGUGAAAGCCUUCGGCUUAACCGAAGAAGGGCAUCGGAAACUGGGAGACUUGAGUGCAGAAGAGGACAGUGGAACUCCAUGUGUAGCGGUGAAAUGCGUAGAUAUAUGGAAGAACACCAGUGGCGAAGGCGGCUGUCUGGUCUGUAACUGACGCUGAGGCUUGAAAGUAUGGGUAGC
rnacentral:rRNA from 1 species